rnacentral:rRNA from 1 species
CCCUUAGAUGUCCUGGGCUGCACGCGCGCGACACUGAUGUGUCCAGUAAGCACCUAACCUCUUCCGAAAGGAACGGGUAACCUUUGCAAAGCACAUCGUGAUGGGGAUAGAUUAUUGCAAUUAUUAGUCUUGAACGAGGAAUUCCUAGUAAGCACAAGUCAUCAGCUUGUGUUGAUUACGUCCCUGCCCUUUGUACACACCGCCCGUCGCUCCUACCAAUUGAAUGUUCCGGUGAGCUCUUCGGACUGCGCGGUCUGCAGUUUCUGCGUUCCGUGCGGAAAGUUGCGCAAACCUUAACAUUUAGAGGAAGGAGAAGUCGUAACA